GUCCGUCGAUCACCCUUUUAUAUUAGAUCUAUGUGAUCCCGCUUUUUCAUCCACUCGCUACAAAUUAAGGACAAUUUACCAAGGCCAAUUAACCCACAAACCCGCACGUCUUUGUGAUGUGGGAGGAAACCGGAGCACCCGGAGGAAACCCACUUCAUCACAGGGAGAAUAUGCAAACUCCUUACAGACAGCACCUGUAGUCUGGAUUGAACCUGGGUCUCUGGCUCUGUAAGGCAUCAACUCCAUGCUGCGCUACUGUUGGGUUGAGUUGGGUUUAUUCUUUAUCCAACAUCACAAUCAUUGGUCGUUAUCGCACUGCUGUUUGUGGAACUUGCUGUGGGCAGAUUGGCUUUGGUGUUUACCACAUUACAGCAAUGUGUGCACUCCAUUGACUGGGCUUGACUUAUCCUGAGCUCAUGAAAGAUACCCUGCAGAUGUUAGACUUUUGUUCUUUACCAAAGGAUAGGAAUCAAUGAUGAAACAAGAGUAACCUUUUUGCUUUCUCUGUCCCAUAGACCCAUAAUUUGGCUCGGUAUUGCUGGAGUUCUUCUCGUGGUGAUAUUUGCUGGUCUACUUUGGUGCCUAAUGUGUAGACAAAGGAAAUCAGAAGGGAACAAACCUCCCGGAGCAAAUAACAAUGAAAUGCAGGGUUUGCCAGCAGGAAAACGGAGCAUCGUUUAUGCAACACUGUCAGACAUUCGAAGCAACAAGGAAGCUGCCCAUUGUUCUAAUCAAUAUCAAACUGUGUAUGCAGAAGUGCAAGUUCAAAGCAAAUCGACAGGGUCUCACUCCAGUACUGGGGAGGACAAUGUCACCUAUUCAGAAGUUACAUCUCAAAGCGUCAGCCAGAUUGCCCGUCAGAAAGCUCCUUCUCCUGUGCAGAGUAUUUAUGCCACUGUGACUUCUUAGAUAGACCAUUGAGUCAUUGAUUGAUUGAUUGAUACUUUAUUACCACAUGUGACAAUGUCACGGUGAUAAUUGUUUUUGUUUUGCAUACCAUAAACAAGGUAUAUAAAGAGUCACUAUGUAUAGGGCGCCAACAGUUACAAACUAUUCAUUACAGUCCCUAUUGGUCCCCCUUUGUUCUCGGCUCCCCCACCCCCCCACUCCAUGACCCCCUUUGUUAACACACCCCCACCCCACGCCAGGUCCGCUAUGUUCUCGGCAGCCCCGUACCUGGACCAGUGCUGUUUGUUGCCCCAUCUUUGCGCCAUGGUUGCAUUGAGGUUUCUCUGCUGUAAUCGACAAAUCUAGUUACUUUGAAGAAGGGUCUCGACCUGAAAUAUCACCCAUUCCUUCUCUUCAGGGAUGCUGCCUGACCCGCUAAGUUAUUCCAGAACUUUGUCUCUUUUUUUUGCAAACCAGCUUCUGCAGUUCCUCAUUUUUCCACUCCCUUCCUUGGUCCCAAUGAUCAGCAAUUGCCAUAAAAUUACUGAAUCUGGGCCAGCUUUGCAAAUAGCAGCCAUUUUGCUCAAUGCAUUGAAUGAUACCGUCUCCUUCCUCAACCCCAUCCCCAACAUAGACUGAGAGGUGUUAUGUUACAGUGCAAACAUCUUCUCUCUACAACUCAAGGUUGUGAGUUCAAAUCUCAUCACAGCACCUGUGCAAGUAACCCACCUGAACACUUCAGUGCAGAACGAGUGAGUGUGUCGAUCUACAAGGCACCUCCUGCAUCGCAGGAGACACAGAAAUAAAGGAAACAAAAGUUGGAGAUGGCAAAUAUUGUAUAUUGAAGAUGAUGAAUGUUUUCUUGCGCAGAGGAUGUUUCUGCUUCCAGAGAUCAUGUUGAAUAUUGAGAUUAAUAAGACACAAUAAAGCUUUUUUUUUUCUCUUCACGUGAUGAUUUUUGACUCGAGAGUCAAGUGUGUUUCAUUGUCAUAUGUCCCAAAAUAGAACAAUAACAUUCUCACUUGUAGCAGCGCAACAGGUUUGUAAACACAGUUUCGGAGUCAGUCUCAGUUUAGUCUAUUGUCACGUGUACCGAAGUACAGUGAAAAGCUUUUGUUACGUGCUAACCAGUCAGCAGAAAGACAAUACAUGCUUACACUUGAGCCAUUACAGUGUAUAGAUACAUGAUAAGGGAAUAACGUUUAGUGCUAGGUUAAGCCAGCAAUUGCUCAAUGGAUAAAAUAACAAGCAAACAAAACAAUAAGUUCAACAAAUAAAAAUAAAUAGUGCCUAUUGGGAUCCAUAUUCAAACCACUCCAAAAGCCCUGGGUUAUGAGCUGCAUGACAGGGUGAACUAUGAAGAGGAUAUAGAGAGUCAUUGUGGAAUGCAGUUGGGUUAACUGAAUGCACGAGGAUGUGGGAAAUGCAGCAUAUGAGACACGAGGGGAAGAAAGCAGAAAUGCUGAACCGUUUUAUAAACGGCAAGCGAUUGAAAUGUCUUCAUGUUUAGUUUAGAGAUACAGCGUGGAAACAGGCCCUUCGGCCCACCGAGUCUGCACCACCAGCAAUUAACACUACCCCACACACACUGGUGACAAUUUACAAUUUUACCAAGCCAAUUAUCCUGCACCUGUAUGACGUUGAGGAAAGGAGUAAACCGGAGAUCUCUAAAAAAAACCCAUGUGGUCACGGGGAGUACGUACAAACUCUAUACAGACAGUACCCGUAGUCGGGAUCAAACCUGGGUCUCUGGUGCUGUAGAUGUUGUAAGGCAGCAACUCCACCGCUGUGCCACCGUGCUGUGGAGCAGAAGGGCCCAGAUAUUCCAGUACAUGAAUCAUUGAAAGUUGACCAACAGUGCAACUUUUAGGAAGGCAAACGGCAUGUGGGUAAUUGUUGCAAGAAAUUUGAAUGCAAGCAUAGUGACACUUUGGUUCAAUGCUAUAUAGGGUUCUGUUGAGACUGCGUCUGGAAUGUUUUGUUGAUCUGGUCUUUAUACAUAAUGAUGGAUAUAUUUGCAAAGGAGAGAAUGCAGCCAAGAUUCAACAGAGCUGCUGCCUCACAGCACCAGAGGCCCAGUUUCAAAACUGACUAUAGGUUCUGUCUGUGAAGAGUUUGCACAUCCUCCCGGUGACUGUGUGGGUUUUCUCUGGGUCCUCUGGUUUCCUCCCUCAUUCCAAAGAUCUGCAGUUUUGUAGGUUGUUUGGCUUCUAUAAAUUCUCCCAAGUGUGUAAGAUAUGAAUGUGGGAUCACAUAGAACUAGUACAAAGGGGCUGGAUGGUCAGCAUAGUGGGCCAAAGAGCCGGUUUCAACACUGUAUUUAAACUAAACUAAAAAUUCAGCAGUCUAUAUUCUGAAGAAGAAGGGUCUUGACCCGAAACAUCACCUGUUCCUUAUCGCCAGAGAUGCUGCCUGACCAGCUGAGUUACACCAGCUUUUUGUGGAUAAUCUUAUGGAAGCAGGUACAGGAGAUGCCACAGCUAGUGCAUCUGUCACACAGCUCCAGUCGUCUGGGUUCAAUUCCGAACUUCAUUGCUUUCUGUGUGGAGUUUGCAUGUUCUCUCUGCGAUUGCAUUGUUAUCCUCUGGAUUCUCCAGUUUCCUCCCAUACCCCAGAGCAUACUAGGUGGUAGAAUAACUGGCAACUGUAACAUGCAAGAGAAUAGGCAAAGGGAUGUAGGAUGGGGACAGAUUAAUGGGAUUAAUCCCAAAGCUGGUAUGGAAUCAAUGGGCCUAAUGGGCUCCAUAUAUUAAUAGGUUUUGAUAGGGUAGCUGCUGGGAUGAAGCUUCCCCUGUUUAUAAGGGGCAUCUGACUCAAAAUAUGAGGUCAGUCAUUCAAGAAUGGGACAAGAAGAAGCCUCUUUACAAGGAACAUGGUGAAUCCUCAAAGUUCUCUCACCAGGAGACCAUCGAGGCUCAAUCACAGUAAAAAUCAAUAUUUUUAUUAAAAAUUAUAGGAAACAAAGGAUAUAGAAUCCAUUCACAAAAGUGGUGCUGUGUCAACCAUGAUGCCAUUGAGUAGCGGAGAAAAAUACUGAAGAUAGACACAAAGUGUUGGAGUAACUUAGCGGGUCAGGCAGCAUCUCUGGAGAUAAAGGAUAGGUGACAUUUUAGGUCGAGACCCUUCUUGAGACUAUACUCUUGCUUUAUGUUGUGUUCAAACUAUGAGCACUGCAUGGUAUGAUUUUUGGCACAGUGCUGUUAUCUUAGUUGAAUGUUGUUUCGAACAAUAAAGGGAGUUAGAUUAGAUGCUCAGUUUUGUUAACAGCAAUACAGAUAAGAUGCCCCCCAGAGCCUACAAGUGGACAGCUUUUUCUCCAUCAACCUGCGGCACAGUGGCCCAGUUGGUAGAGCUGCUGCCUCACAUCGCCAGAGACCCGGCAUCCAUUAAUCCCUCAGCUACUUUGUCAGACAUGAUUUCCCUCCCAUAAAUGCACCAUGAUCCUGUCCCAAUUGCUUGCUG